rnacentral:misc_RNA from 1 species
GUUGGUGUCACCCAUGGUUCUGCCUUACACAUUGCGUAGUAAAGGAUUACUUUAGGCACAACCUGUGACCUUACUGGAGCAGAGACGACUUUAGGAGUAUGCCACAGGGUGUUUUGCGGUGGUGUGUCAACUCUCUUUACACGGAUACGUGAACGGUGCGCGGUGAUAUAGAGCCAGGAUACAUGGCCUACUUCCAGAGGCUGAAGAUCCAUGUGUCCGUGGCCAUCGUGCUUGUGCUUGUCUCUGCAGCGACGGAAGUUGAAGCCACAGAAUUUCAGGGUCUGAAAGACCUGAAAACACAGGUGAGCGACUUAGCGAAAAGGUGGCAUGAGUGUAGCGUAUCGCUAACUGGUAUGGCCGAGGUUCCCGGUGAGCUAAAGGAUUUGAAAGCGCAAGUGGAAGCAAUGAAAAAUAAGAGAUACAAUACAGCGUCCAACUUAAUACCCCCUGUGCCGGGUCUGAGCAUUGAUGCAGCGUUCAAGAAGGUUCUAGAGAUCGAUAAAAGACUUAGUGCAAUGGAGGUAGAAAACAAAAGUUUACGCGAAGCUAUGGAACAGAUGAAACGAGACAUGCAUUCAGAGCGGCUUGAAAGGAAGAGCAGCGUGCAGGCUGUACGAGCUGAAGCAAGGAGUGUUGCGGAACUGCUGGUGCCGGAAGUGAAACAAACGUUAGUGGAGCUUCCAUCGAUGGUAGCGAAAAUGAAACGUUUUUUCAGAACUGGCAGAGACGUAAUGCAGUUUUUGUCACCAACAAGAUCUCCAAAUGAUACGGCCGAUCAAGACAAGUUGAACACCGUUCAGAUGGAGAGAAAUUCAGUAGCUGUGCUAGAGGAAGAAACCAGCGAACCCACCAAUGAACUAGACGCCGAGGUUAACGCUGCGGCCUAUAAUCAACGCGGUAACGUGCCACACCACAGCUCUCUACAGAAGUUUGAAAUUGGGAGUGGUAUUCAAGAAAAGAUCUAUAAUAGUACUAUUCCGACACUUGUCACUCAUUUUGCUGAAAAUGACUCCUAUACACAGCCAAACUUUACUGAAACAGCAUUACACAGCGAAGCAUUGAAAAACGCAAGAUAUGGCAAUGUCAGUGAAAUUGAGUUUGUUGGACAAGAAAGAAAUUUUUCUAUUUCCAUCACAGACGGCAAAGUAACCAGCUGCAUGGAAUACGGUUCGAACAGUUACAACAUAUCAAAUUCUAGCACGGAGCCUUGUGAUGGUUUCAGAGUCGAAAUGGAUUUUGGAGGGCACGGAACAGGAGAGCGAAUGGUGCCUAUAUCUGAUGACUUCACUAAACACAGGUGGUCUAUUGAAAACGCCAUCGUGUUCAUGGCCAUAGAACUGCAAAGGUUAAGGAAAAGAGUUGCCGAGGAGGCGUUAAACGACAGAGAUGAACGGCUUGAGGAGAUUGCCGAAAACAUGAUGAGAAAGAUGAAUGAAAUGAAAUAUUCUAUCGAAGGCGAAAUGGAACAAGGCCUUGUGAACAUCAGCGUUAAGAUUGAAGAAAUUAUAGGGGUUUUAACACAAUAUAAUUUGACUCACCUUGAAGGCACAACUCAAGAAAUAGCAAGGAACACUAGUUCACUUUGGGAGAGUAUACACAAUGCACAUAAUAAAAUGCAGCAUGUGCAGCACCAAUUUUCAGAAGCUAUAGAAAGUAGCAAUGUUGGCAACAACGCCUCUUUUCAUUUGAUGAAAGAAAACCUCGCAUUAUCUGUGAGCCAACUUGAAGCGCUGAAUAAGUCACUGCAGAGAUUUGUUGCAGAAAGGGAAACGGUACUCAAGGGCAAACUGGAAGUGUUGAAUUCUGCAAUAGAACUUAAUAUGAGGCAGCUUACCGAAACUGUACAAGAGUGUUGCUCGGCAGUUGAGGGGCUUAAUGGGACCACUCAGGGAGUCCAGGCUUCUUCUCUAUAUGAGUUAAGCAAAAAUAAUAACAGCAGCAUCGCUUCCACGGAAAUCAAACUGCAAGCACGGAUGGAUGAUCUGGAUCACAGGUUGCUCAGUGAAAUCGAGCACCUAAAGGAAAUGAUGAAGAUGAAGUCACCUGCUCAACUGCCAAUCUUCAGUGGAUGGCACCCAGAUGAUGCGGCGGACUGCCCGGGACUGGAUGUCCUCGCUACUGACGACCGCUUGAUACUAUCUCCCCACAACAGCGGCCGCUAUCGGGCUCCGCACCUGCCGUCUGAUCCAAUGCCUGUCGGCUCAGUUGUUCGCUUUCGAUGUGUUCCUGCUGGCAGCCACAAGUUGAUUGGCGCGGUGGAGAUACGCUGCCUGGGUGCCAAGCGUUGGUCGAGUAAACCACCCAGAUGCCAGCCACUUCUUACAUUGGAACAGAUGAUGACGGGCAACAAAACGACAUGACGCCAUCCAUACUUUACCAUGGGCUAAUCGGCGACGAGCUGGCCUCUGCGGACGACAAUGACAGCUUGGUGGUUCGACCUGAGACAACCUUGCUACUCAAGUGUCUCUACCCUCGGCAACGCGGCAACGUUACCUGGCUUCAUAACGGAACUGUCCCGCGUGAUGCCACUCUCGCCUGGGCCCAGGAAGGUCCAGCAGAUCUUGGCGAAAACGUAUACUUGUUGCAGAUUAACCGCACUUUACCUGAGCACUCUGGGACUUACCGCUGCGAAACGCCUGAUGGCAUGAAUCACUCCAUCAAAAUCAAGAUAUCAGAUGUGACCUGUCAAGCACCCAUCGCCCCUGAGAAUGGUCACGUGGACAUACCCUCUGCAGGAGGGGCCGUUGUGGGAAGCACAGCUCGAUUCCGCUGCUCCUUAGGAUAUGAACUACAUGGGCCCAAUGAAAGCACUUGCCUGGGAAGCGG